rnacentral:rRNA from 1 species
AUGGGGAUAAAAGAGCACACAGUGGAUUCUAUUGUCCUCCAAGCUGUAACAUUCAGACUUGUGCUUGAUGAUCUGGAAACCAUUGACAUUGCGCACCACCUCCACGCCGGUCAAGACAGUAAGCUCAUUGACUGCACCAUGAAGUGGUCUGCACGAGGUGUGCCUCAAGAGAUUUCGAAAGCUGGUGGCGAUGCAGAACUUGCCUGA